rfam:Aedes albopictus isolate Foshan contig39872, whole genome shotgun sequence.
ACCUCGGUAGCUUAGUUUGGAAAGCACUUCUCUAGCAUAUAAGGGUCGUGUAUUCAAAUCUCACCUGAGCUG